GUUUGGAAAGACUUCCAGCUUCAUCACGGAGUUUCUCUCGGUUUGUGGGCUCAUCUAAAGCUGAGUAACAGGAGUCUGGUGGUGCAACAGAGGAACAAUUUCAUCCAUUUGGACUCAGCUCAGCCACUACAGAGGAAACAAUCAAUGACUUCAACACAAAAGGACCAACAUGGAGCAACAAGUCAGCGCUCUCAGGAGGCCGACAAACCUCACAGAAGAAAG